rnacentral:rRNA from 1 species
UGAGGAAUAUUGGUCAAUGGGCGCAAGCCUGAACCAGCCAUCCCGCGUGCAGGAUGACGGCCCUAUGGGUUGUAAACUGCUUUUAUACAGGAAGAAAAAUCUCUACGUGUAGGGACUUGCCGGUACUGUAUGAAUAAGCAUCGGCUAACUCCGUGCCAGCAGCCGCGGUAAUACGGAGGAUGCAAGCGUUAUCCGGAUUCAUUGGGUUUAAAGGGUGCGUAGGCGGCUUUUUAAGUCAGUGGUGAAAUCCUGCCGCUUAACGGUAGAAUUGCCAUUGAUACUGAAGAGCUUGAGUACAAUUGAGGUAAGCGGAAUGUGUAGUGUAGCGGUGAAAUGCUUAGAUAUUACACAGAACACCAAUUGCGAAGGCAGCUUACUAAACUGUCACUGACGCUGAUGCACGAAAGCGUGGGGAGCGAACAGG